CAAAAAAGGUGCUUGCUCGCAUGUAUGUUUGCGCACCACCUGCAUGCCUGUGCCGACAGAGCUCAGAGACGGAACUGGAGUUGCAGAUGGUCGUGAGCUGCCAUGGGGGUCUGGGAACUACCUCAGUCUUUUUCAAGGGCAUUGGACUCUUAAACCGUCUGAAACUCUGAACCCUCUCCGGCCCUCUAGUGAUAUUUCCAUCCUUCUUUUAUUUCCCGUUUUUGACCAAUAUCUUCCCGAGUUAAAGAGCUGAAGGUCCAGUGGUCAUGUUCCAAAGGGAAGAGGCCAGGCGCGGACGGGUAGGCGGCUGAAGCCAUACACGAGUGUUGAGUGCAUGGUGUCCAUUCGCGGGGCCAUGUCUUUUCAUUCCGCCCCCAUUUCGGAAUGUUGGAACACAUAAAAACAGAACAAACGAGGGGCAAUCUAAAGUCCUGGCGUGAGAGCGCGCCUUACUCCCGAAGACCCCCUCCUAGCUGCACUCGAGCCUGGGAGACUGGGGGGAUGGCGGCAGUCUGGUCCGCGGUCGGACACUGUCAUCAGUUAGGACCUGGUAAAAUGAGGUCCAAUUAGAAUUAAGAGCCCUGUGUAGGGCUUUUGUUUCUUCGCAAUUCUAACUCCAGUCAAGUUUUAUCUUCGAGAAUCUCAGCCAACGGAUUUAGGAUAAACCACAGGUCACGAGAACACAUCUGCCAUCGCUUCGAUCAUUGUCUUCUUCAUAUUCAUUGAUCUUGACGGGCAUUUCAUAAAACCAUCAGCUUGUUCGUUAAAAGAUUUGGAAAGCCUUACAGGGUCUAAUAGUGUGAACACUUUAAAAUCUUUAGAGAGGCCGAGCCAGACCUGCAGGAUGAAGUCCCGAAGCUGCCCGAGGCAGCGCACACUUCCGGUUCCUGUUCCUAGCCGGAGCACUUCCGCCCCUGCGGCUCGUUGGCAUGGAGGCCGGCUGGUCCUCCCCGGUGAGCAGCGUUGACGCCGCAGACCCGCAGCUGCAGCGGUUCGUGGAGGUGGAGACGCAGAAACAGCGGGUGCAGCUGCUGGUCCACCACAUGACUGAGCUGUGCUGGGAGAAGUGCAUGGACAAGCCCGGGCCCAGGCUGGACGGCCGGGCCGAGGUCUGCUUGGUGAAUUGCGUCGAGCGCUUCAUCGAUACGAGCCAGUUCAUCCUGAAUCGACUGGAGCAGAUCCAGAAAGCCAGACCAUUCUUCUCUGAAAGCCUCUCUGACUGAUCUCGGCGUUUCCCUCCUUGGAAAAGGAAGCGAAGCAGCUGUUGUGAUGAGAACUGCAGGUUGACUAUGGUGACCAUUGUGAUACCUCAGAUGAGCUUCCUCUUCAAAACAUGGAGACCCUGCACAGAUGCCUGACACCUGUUCUGGACCUCCCAGUUGCAAGAAUGCUUCUCCGAAUUGACAAAUGCAGUUUGCAGAACAGAGGAAAAUCACAUUCCUCAGGUUUUCCUCCAGCCACUUAUCAGCAGUGUGAGGAAAAGAGCAUCGCCAUCCGUGGGGAAAGCGCCGAGGAAAGUUCCCUAUUUCCUAGCUUGGGAGAGAACUCUCCACUCCUUAUGCAUUUGUGCACAUCAGCGCUCACCAACCCGGAGCUCCCCAACCCUGGAUCGCCCCGCC